rnacentral:rRNA from 1 species
UACGUAGGGGGCAAGCGUUGUCCGGAUUUAUUGGGCGUAAAGAGCGUGUAGGCGGUUUGGUAGGUCCGCUGUGAAAACUCGAGGCUCAACCUCGAGACGCCGGUGGAAACCAUCAGGCUAGAGUCCGGAAGAGGAGAGUGGAAUUCCUGGUGUAGCGGUGAAAUGCGCAGAUAUCAGGAAGACACCCGUGGCUAAGGCGGCUCUCUAGUACGGUACUGACGCUGAGACGCGAAAGCGUGGGGAGCGAACAGG